UACGGGGGGGGCAAGCGUUGUUCGGAAUUACUGGGCGUAAAGGGCUCGUAGGCGGCCAACUAAGUCAGACGUGAAAUCCCUCGGCUUAACCGGGGAACUGCGUCUGAUACUGGAUGGCUUGAGUUUGGGAGAGGGAUGCGGAAUUCCAGGUGUAGCGGUGAAAUGCGUAGAGAUCGGGUGGAACACCAGUGGCGAAGGCGAGUCUCUGGACAUUUCCUGACGCUGAGGCACGAAAGCCAGGGGAGCAAACGGG
rnacentral:rRNA from 1 species